GUGCUCGCUUCAGCAGCACAUAUACUAAAACUAGAACAAUACAGAGACGAUUAGCAUGACCCCUGUGCAAGGAUGACACGCAAAUUCAUGAACUGUUCUGUAUUUUU
rnacentral:snRNA from 1 species